CGAGGGUGGAAUCGAAGCCCUCUGCCGUUAAGCAGAUACAAGUUUAAAGCCCGUACACUGGACCACCCAAGAUCAU